UACAUGAGCGACGAGCAUUAUCCGCAAUUAUUGGGUGUAGAGGAUGCGUAGGCGGAUCGUACAGUUUGUCUUAACUAUAAAAGCUAUGGUUUGGAUUUUACAAAUACUAUGAUCUCGAGUGUAAUAGGAGUGAAUAUAAUCUAUAAACGAGCGAUAAAAUGCGAAAAAUUUAUAGUUUAUACCAAUGGUGAAAACAAUUUACUAUAUUAUUCUGACGCUGAGGCAUGAAAGUAUAGUUAUCGAACAGG
rnacentral:rRNA from 1 species